rnacentral:misc_RNA from 1 species
UCCUUAUGGAUAAAACUAUACUAUAUAUUUGCGUGGAUAAACUUCCUACAUUCUGCAUUUUCUCUCGAUCCAACCGCUAUCGAGAAAAUUUGCCAGAAAAAAUUUAGUAUACUUUUAAAUACGAUAGAUACAAACGUCGCGUCACCUUGUCUCUCUAUUGUUGUCAAAGAAUUACCGGAGAAACAAACAAAAUUUCGCUUGUCAGAAACUCUUUGCUAGUGCAGAAGGUUAAAUUGAUAAGUUCUUCUCCAGUCAACCGGCGUUGUAGAUAGAACUUUGUGUGUUUAUCCACUUACCUCGAUUUUAGCAAUAUGAAUUUGAAAAUUUUCUUAGCGGAUUAGGCUAAAAGAUUUUUAAAAAAGUUUUAUUUGGUUAUAUUGGGGUUGUUUUUUUUUUCUCC